CCUACGGGAGGCAGCAGUAGGGAAUAUUGCUCAAUGGGGGAAACCCUGAAGCAGCAACGCCGCGUGGAGGAUGAAGGUUUUAGGAUUGUAACCUCCUUUUGUGAGAGAAGAUACUUACGGUAUCUCACGAAUAAGCACCGGCUAACUCCGUGCCAGCAGCCGCGGUAAUACGGCGGGUGCAAGCGUUCCUCGGAAUCACUGGGCGUAAAGGGUGCGCAGGCGGGAUUGUAAGUCAGCUGUGAAAUCACGUAGCUUAACUACAGCACUGCAUUUGAAACUAUGAGGCUAGAGUGUGGGAGAGGUAGGUGGAAUUCUUGGUGUAGGGGUAAAAUCCGUAGAUAUCAAGAGGAAUACUCAUUGCGAAGGCGACCUACUGGAACAUUACUGACGCUCAUGCACGAAAGCGUGGGGAGCAAACAGGAUUAGAUACCCCAGUAGUC
rnacentral:rRNA from 1 species